rnacentral:misc_RNA from 1 species
AAUGCACCUUGUGCUCCUUGGUAUUCCGAGGAGCAUGCCUGUUUGAGUGUCAUUAAAUUCUCAGACCUCUCUCUCGAUUUAUAGGGAGAGAGUCCUUUGGACUUGGUGUGUUGCUGGAUUCAUUUGUCAGCUCCUCUCAAAUGCAUUAGCUUGUUACCCUUGUGGAUAGGCUUUGGUUUGAUAAUGUCUAUGUCAUUGUGAUGAAACAAAUGUCAGCUUCUAAUAAAUAAAUCAUUCAUAAAAUUUGACCUCAAAUCAGGUGGGACUACCCGCUGAACUUAA